ACCUCCUUCCCCACAGGACAAUAUUACUUUUUAUAAAUAUAGGGAACUUUGGAAUCAGUGCUUAAACUGGAAUCUAAUUUGAAUUGAGUUUUCAGAAUUUUUUUUUCGACUUUUGGGCGUGAAUUUUUUUUGACACUCGUCAAAUAUGUUUGUUUGCUCUGCAACUUUCUAGUUUGAAAUCUAAAUUUGAAUCUAGUUUUAAACAAAUAAUACCUAGAAUGGGCAGGUUAGAUUAUUAGAGCAUAGCCUAAACUGAUCUGAUUACUUAUCAAGUAUGGUUGCGACCAGUUUAGUAUGUAUAUAGACAAGGCUAGGCACGUUGGCCCCAAUUUAUGCCUUAAUUAGGGGGUUAUUUGCUUAAACUCAUAUUUAUCUGGUGGGGCUUUUUGGGGAAACACUGUAAAUUUUUGUGGAAAAAAACCUCAAAUUUUUAGAUGCUGCAAAAAACCCUAAUGCGAAAAUCCGCCUUCUCAGAGGUGGUAUAAAUCAAUGGGGGAGGCACCACCUCAAAUUGAAAUUAUUGUGGUCUUCAGAGGGUUUAGCCUGAAAAUCUAACUUUUUCUAGGUUUUGGGAAAAAAUCAAUCUCAAUUUGAAGAUAUUGUGGUUUGCGCUGAGAUUAGCCUGCAAAAUCCAAAAAAAAUCUGGGUUUUCAGGCUAAAACUUGAAAAACCAGAUGAUUUGUGUGAUUUUAUCGUGUUUUUUCCUGAAACUAUGUUUUUUUUUAUAAAUAAAUAAGGUCAAAUUGGGCAUGGAAAUUUGGUUGUGGUUUAUUUUUAUAAAAUAUGAGAUAUAUGCAUAGUUUCGUAAUUAACCCCAGCAACAGCAAUGAUCACUAUAUGUCUGCCUACUUUGAUGUAUUUUUGCCGCAGUGGGGGGAUACCAUUGUAGGAUCUGUCCAAGGAAGCAAAAAAUGGUCCAGAAAAAACGGUCCAGAGUUAGCUAGGAUCUAUGAUCACUUAUUUACUUUGUAAUGAACCACCUGCAGAGGGCAAUAAAAUCCUAUAAAAGUGAUCAUGCUAGUGAUCUGUCUUUGUUUAAGGUGGGAAUAUCAUCUACCUGCCACAAUUGGCAGAUGUCUGGGGAACAGAGACCAGGAAAGGCCAGUCCAUUAAUCUUAUAAUCCACCACUCCUUCUACUAUGUGGCCAAGUACGAGCAGGACCAGGUCAUAUGAUGGAAGCACCUCCUUCCCCACAGCAGUUAUCCUGUGUAUCUGCCGUGAUUCCUCUGAUAUCUUGUUUCCAUGUAACAAUAAAUCCUGGUGUCUGUCAAUCACCAUCUCCCAAUCUACGUCUGAUAUUCCGCCAGAAACACAAUGGAGUGACAGUACAGGUCUAUUCAUUUGCGCCAUGUUCCCACCUGUGAUCUGACGGUUUGUGUUCCUUCCCAGAACAGAGACCUGAGAACAGUGCGGAUGUGCAUUGUAUGUCCAUGAACAUAAACAUCACUCAGCCAAGAACUACGUCAACACUAUAGAGUCUUUUAUCUGCAGUAACAAAAGGUUUUGACUUCGCUCCUUUCUCCUUAUCGGUGAGAGAAAUGCAACAGGUGCACUGAAAGCAUUUGUAAUUUAAUUUACUCAUUUUGAAAUAAACUGGAAAUUGGUUGUUCAAGAACUUG